rnacentral:tRNA from 1 species
GCAGCAGUAGUUUAAAUAAAAACAUUAGCCUGUGGUGCUAAAAAUGGAACCACCCUCCCUGUAGCU